rnacentral:rRNA from 1 species
CUCAGGAUGAACGCUAGCUACAGGCUUAACACAUGCAAGUCGAGGGAAACGACAUCGAAAGCUUGCUUUUGGUGGGCGUCGACCGGCGCACGGGUGAGUAACGCGUAUCCAACCUGCCCACCACUUGGGGAUAACCUUGCGAAAGUAAGACUAAUACCCAAUGAUAUCCCACGAAGGCAUCCGAAUGGGAUUAAAGAUUUAUCGGUGAUGGAUGGGGGAUGCGUCUGAUUAGCUUGUUGGCGGGGUAACGGCCCACCAAGGCAACGAUCAGUAGGGGUUCUGAGAGGAAGGUCCCCCACAUUGGAACUGAGACACGGUCCAAACUCCUACGGGAGGCAGCAGUGAGGAAUAUUGGUCAAUGGGCGAGAGCCUGAACCAGCCAAGUAGCGUGCAGGACGACGGCCCUAUGGGUUGUAAACUGCUUUUAUAAGGGAAUAAAGUGGGUCACGUGUGACUUUUUGCAUGUACCUUAUGAAUAAGGACCGGCUAAUUCCGUG